CCAGACUCCUACGGGAGGCAGCAGUGGGGGAUAUUGCACAAUGGGGGCAACCCUGAUGCAGCGACGCCGCGUGAGCGAUGGAGUACUUCGGUAUGUAAAGCUCUGUCAGCAGGGAAGAGAAUGACGGUACCUGACCAAGAAGCCCCGGCUAAAUACGUGCCAGCAGCCGCGGUAAUACGUAGGAUCCGAGCAUUAUCCGGAGUGACUGGGUGUAAAGAGUUGCGUAGGUGGCAUAAUAAGUAGCUAGUGAAAUCUGGUGGCUCAACCAUUCAGACUAUUAGCUAAACUGUUAAGCUCGAGACCGUUAGGGGUAACUGGAAUUUCUAGUGUAGGAGUGAAAUCCGUAGAUAUUAGAAGGAACACCAAUAGCGUAGGCAGGUUACUGGGACGGUUCUGACACUAAGGCACGAAAGCGUAGGGAGCAAACGGGAUUAGAUACCCCCGUAAUA
rnacentral:rRNA from 1 species